rnacentral:rRNA from 1 species
UAUAGUAGCAAUACUAGAGACCGGCGCACGGGUGCGUAACGCGUAUGCAAUCUACCUUUCACAGCGGGAUAGCCCAGAGAAAUUUGGAUUAAUACCUCAUAGUAUAGUACCUUGGCAUCAAGGAAUUAUUAAAGAUUUAUCGGUGAAAGAUGAGCAUGCGUCCCAUUAGCUAGUUGGUAUGGUAACGGCAUACCAAGGCUACGAUGGGUAGGGGUCCUGAGAGGGAGAUCCCCCACACUGGUACUGAGACACGGACCAGACUCC